rnacentral:tRNA from 1 species
AUUUAUAUAGUUUAAAGUAAAACAUUACAUUUUCAUUGUAAAAAUAAAAUUUAAAUUUUUAUAAAUU